rnacentral:rRNA from 1 species
GGGUGCGAUCAUACCAACGUUAUUGCACCGGAUCCCAUCAGAACUCCACAGUUAGGUGCACUUGGGCUAGAGUAGUACUGGGAUAGGUGAUCUUCCGGGAAGUCCUAGUGUUGCACCCU